UUCGGUCAGGUCUCUGGCCCCAGGCUCAGGGCAACCUCGGCAGGUGGAAGCGCCUUCCUGGGCCUCCCCUUCCACACCUUCCUUAAAUGAGGGCGUUGGAGGAGAGGCUGGUUCUUUUCAGUCCUGGAUGAAUUCCUUGCUCCCGUUCUCAUUACCUCAUUGACUAUCUGGAUAGAGGUGGUUUUUGUUUUGUUUUGUUUUUAAUCUGCAGCUAAAAUUGAUAAGGGGGAAAACUGUAGUCUAAGGUGGCCGACCAAACCAGCGAGGGAAUUGCAGUCCCUGUCUCAAAGCCCUUCCCGGCUCUUCCCUACCCUGUUUCCCGUGUGCACCAGAAGUACCAUAUGGAAGUAGAAGGGUAUAAAUUCCCCUCCCUGCUAGUGCUCGGGGCUAGCACCUUUGGAGAACGGCUUCUUCUGAGCCCGCCGGUAUUAAAUAAACCUCCCAUCCUCCCAGGUCUCCGAGACAGCUUGGCUCUUCUGUCAGGACCCAGUGCACUUCCCCUAACACGUGGUUCCCGGCCCGGGAAACCCAACCACGCUGGUCCACUGUUGCCACCCGUUUGCGGCAUCGGCGGGGCAGCGAGCGAGCGAGGUCGUAAAGGAGAAGGCGCGCGGCCUGAUUUCCGGCAGUCUCCCUCCCGCCUGGUCGCCUCAGGCCGACCACGCCCCGCUGUCCCCAACUGGACUCAAAGGAGACCUGGCAGGUGACGACCUGGUCCCCACGUCGGAUUCCGGCGAGGCCUGGGACCCCAGGACCCAGUCAGGCCCACCCGUCAGGGUGGAAGGGGAGACUGACCACCUCCCAGAGACCUCUUAGAAGUCUCACAGGUCGGGCCUUCCGGGGCGCAGCAUCCCUCAGGUGUAGGGACCCUCUGGAUAUUUUGGAGACCUCAUGAAGAGGAAUCUGCCCAAAUCUACCGGUAUUGCAGGUCUUAGGUAAACAAUGGGUCCACCACUCUGGAGUAAAGAAGGCUCACCAGUCGGACAAAUCACACCAAUGGAAAGCCCAACCAAACCUAUGCACCCGCUCCAGCUCCACCUUCAGUGAGACCCCACCAACUGAUGGACAUCUGUUUGCCAUGGUCCCUGGCUAUCAUCGGUGUGAUAGCCCUCACCUCAGGAGUCGGACUUUAUGCUGCUGCCCCUUCUGAUUGGACUUUCCUCCAGAAACUUGUUAUUGUUGUUGCUUAUUCAGCAACUUUAGGAUGGAUUGCUAAGUUCAUAGAAAACACUAAGUUUUCUAUGAACUUAGCAAUCCAUCCUAAAGUUAGCGGCUGUGCAGAUACUAGACUUGCAGGGCUAUCAGCCCAUAGUAGAUGAUAAUGAUACCCUCUAAACCAGGUGUUUAAAGAGGCAUCAAAGGAGGGCAUGAUAAGGGAAAAAUGAAAAGAUGGCCAACCAAACCAGCAAGGGAAUUCCAGUCCCUAUCUCAAAGCCCUUGCAGGCUCUUCUUUCCUACCCUAUUUCCCGCAUGCGCCAAAAGUACCAAGUAUGCAGAAGUAGAAGGGUAUAAAUUCCCCUCCCUCCUUGUGCUCAGAUCUUUGGAGAAUGGUCUCCUCUGAGCCCGCUGGGGUUAAAUAAACCUCCCAUCCUCCAAAGUCUU